GAAGGAAGGAAGGAAGGAAGGAAGGAAGGAAGGAAGGAAGGAAGGAAGGAAGGAAGGAAGGAAGGAAGGAAGGAAGGAAGGAAGGAAGGAAUCACCUUCAGUUUUCAAGGCACGUGUGCUAACAUCGUCUGCUAUGAAACUAUAAGAAGAGACUGUGCAACCUGCAGGCUGUCUUCAUUAAAGCCAUUAUCUUUGUAAGGAUUUUGCAUAGCAGCCAGAAGUUAAUUUAUUUUUCCUCAGAUCAGCAAUCUGCUACAGUCUCCAGGGGAAGGAGAUCAGCUACUCAGCUAGUCAAAUACUGCCAUCAGCAUGAAGUGUAAUUGUAGAAAAGAUGUUCUGUGGCUACCACCUUUAAGCCAUCUUCUUAAAAGAGUGACAAUUUUGUUCUGUUUUGUAGCUUAUUUUAUAUAGUGUACAUCUACAGGGAAACUUCCUUCUUUACCAACUUCACCUAAUCCCUCUCUCUGUCAAAUGCUGUCACAAAACUUACACUUUUGUUAUGAGUAAGAGUGAAUCACUUUGAAACUGAAUUUCAGUUCUCAAAUUCACAGCCUGGUUGAGGAGAUUUAGUUGUCACACCUUCAUUAUACAUUCAACCUCACAGCAGCUGAAGUAAACAGCCUUGUAACCAUUACUCCAUUUUCAUGUUAGGUUUGCUACUCAGUUAUGUGUGAGAAAGUCUACAGGACACUUUGUGCAUGCACUCCAAACCUUUCCAGCAAAUCAAUGCACUAUAAAACAUCUGAAGUAGUCCAAAGCUUACUCUACUAGUCAUUAACUUAAUCAACUGCUGAUCAGACAAGACACAGAUAGUAUAUAACACCAAAUCUGUUCACUUACAUUGUCGAUAUUUGGCCUUAUUUUUGUAUCUUAAUAGGACACUAGUCUAAUUACCAGUAGAUUUAUUUGUGUUGGUUAGUAAAUAAAGCUGUUUUCCCCUUAACAAGAGAGUCAGUGCAAUCAGAACUGGCAUUUCCAUUAUUUCAUUUUCUAAUUCCAAAAGCAACUGAUGAAACCUUAAUGAGGUGGAUGCUUUCAAACUGUCAUUAAUCUUUGCCUGAAGUUCCUUAAUAGGAUUAUUAGUCUCAGAAAAUAACAACCCAAUAGAACAACCCAAACCCCCCAAACCAAACAAACAAACACCCACCCCAUCAAGUAAACAGUCUAUUGUCAAUCUGUGGGCUUUCUUCAUGAAUGAUAUGAGGCAUUCCUACUCUU